AAGCACGAUGGCGUAGGGUAUGCAGACCUUGCACACCCCUAACGACCUAAGGACGAUAUUCGUGAAGACGAGGCACAGCACCGAGUCCAGAAAGGCGAAGUCUACGUUUACAACACAAAAGCGCUUAAAGGGCUUCCUAAAGCUCGUAACCAAUGAUGGAGGACACACUGCUGAAAGAAGGGGUGCUUUGAGGUUGUCGGAAUAAGCUUUGCAUUUUACCACCAGUCAAGUAACCAGGACGAGCAGUAGUAAGAGCCAGUUACAGACAGCCUCAAGGGUGAAGCUGGAAGUGGAAGGAGCAGAAGAGAAGGAAGGAGGGCAGGAAGAUUCAAUUUAAGCGCUGACGUCAUCAGCUCGGCAAGAAGUGGAGCGAGCGGAAACGUCCGUAACCGGAAGUAAAAAGAAUUUGGCGAAAGAAUCGCAGCAACUCAGCCUACAGUAAAUCAGCAGGAAGAUCCCGACGAGAGAUUAGGAUGAGAUACAAUUAAAUUUCCACGAGCUCGUCAGGAGCAAUU